rnacentral:rRNA from 1 species
UACGUAGGUGGCAAGCGUUAUCCGGAAUUAUUGGGCGUAAAGCGCGCGCAGGUGGUUUCUUAAGUCUGAUGUGAAAGCCCACGGCUCAACCGUGGAGGGUCAUUGGAAACUGGGAGACUUGAGUGCAGAAGAGGAAAGUGGAAUUCCAUGUGUAGCGGUGAAAUGCGUAGAGAUAUGGAGGAACACCAGUGGCGAAGGCGACUGUCUGGGCUGUAACUGACACUGAGGCGCGAAAGCGUGGGGAGCAAACAGG